rnacentral:tRNA from 1 species
GGACCGGUAGUCUAGGGGUUAGGAUGACGCUCUCACACAGCGUAGGUCAUGGGUUCAAAUCCCAUCCGGUCCA